UGGCUGGUAUAUUAUAAAUUUGGAAUAAUGUAGGGAUAAUGCUAUCACACAUUUGUUUUCGGCAGUAACUGCAAGUAUAAUUUUGUUUUCGGAAUAGUGCUGCCUUGCUGUCACGGCUUCUGUGGAAGUGUCCAAUCAAGUGGACUUCUUUGCUGUUUGAUCAUGAUAUUUAUCAUCCUACAUAAUAGUCUGAGGUGCCAGCUAUGUGACUUCUUUGCUGUUUGAUCACGAUAUUUAUCAUCCUACAUAAUAGUCUGAGGUGCCAGUUACGUCCCCUAAAUAUUUCAUGUUAGCAAACAUUUCAUUGUACGUUAGAAUAUUAUCGUACGGGUUAGCAAACAUUUCGUUACUAUAUUAUCGUACGGGUUCGCUGCUGAUUGAAUCCGAGCGAUCCCUUGUCCAACUGCUGACUAUAUCUGAGUAAAUAUAGGUAAAUGUGUUUGUGAGGGCUCGAAAAUUUAGUUUACGUUGUUAGACAUAUUCAUGUCAUUGUUCCGCAAUUCCAUGUCAUAGGAAAAGAUGAAAUUAUUAUCCAAGCACACAUUAAAUACCAAUGAUCUGCCUUAGAUAUGACCACCAGAAAAUACAUGAUUCUCAUUUAUAGCUGCACCCCUUAUGAAUGAGCGUCAAUGAUCGAACUGUUUCUUCUGAGUCAUCCUUUCUGAUUCUGCGAAAAAGAGGUACAUGUGCAUUUGGUCAAAGAAUAAUCUAUUAUAUCACAUUAACUAGAAAAUUAUAUAAGUUAAGUUGAACUUUUAUAGGUAUUAUUUUGUACUAGUUACUAGGACAUGUUAUUUCAAGGCUGGCAAUGUGCGAAAUGUUCUCAAUCUUGUGGUCAGAUGAUGAAAUGUGGCAUAUCUCGGUGUCUAUCUGUGUAUUAAAAAUAUAUGAAACUAUAUCAUUCUUCUUUGGCAGCAUUUUGGAUCCUAAACUGAUAUCCUGUCUAGUACUGAGUUGGCAUAGAAAUGCAUCACGCAUUGUUCAGAAUAUGACUUUUUUCUUCUUCCAAAAAUCAGUUUUUGAACUGAAUAAUGCUAUGCUAAUUCUUCAUAGAUGAAAAAACCCUACAUGUUAUUUCGAGUAACAACAAUCAAGGUCUUUCAUAUUAUCUAUUUUUUAGAAUCUCUUUCAUACUAUGUGAUUUUAUAGUUUCAUUCUCAUCUUUUUUAUUUAUUAAAAUGAUGUUCUCCUGGGCUUCAUUAACGAAGUUCAUUCUCAUCGGAUAUUGUAUGUCCGUGAUGGAUUGUGUAGUGCCAUGCAAAGAAUCAUUCCUGUAUCUGAACGAUACGCACUGCCAUAUAAGCUGCAAAUAGAAACACUCAUAGAUUAUAACUGUGCAUAUAAUCUAACAGAUAUGCAGUCACCAAGACACUCACAGAAAUAUCUAUCUACGCAUUAUUUCAGUGAUCAUGCUGGAGUGGAACUGCUGUUGGCAUCUUUUAGCUUCUUUACACACUUUCUGAUGCAAAUGUGUGCUGUUAGUUUUAUCUGCAUACUUUGUAUUUCUAAACUAGUGAUGGUCAAUGGUGAAAAUAAUUUACUAGUCUUAAAGAGUAUUGCAGGUCAACAACAUGCAAGUUUCUUUCAGUUGGCACCACAUGGACUUUAUGUUUAAUACUAUUCCUUGCACACAUGCAUGAAUUUGGUUCAUACCUGACAGCUGAGCUGUAACGCCGAAGUCUUCCGCAGCGACCACCUGCCCCGCCACCGUUUCGUGGAACAUUCCCACCGAUGUUAUCCUAUGGCACUGGCGAUGCUCCUGCUCUAUCUGCAAGUAAAUUCUGAAGGCAACAUGGAUCCAGAGCUUCCCCACGUCACAGUGAUAAUGGUCACCUCUUGAUUCCUGCCUGGAAUGAAAAUGACGGGAGGGGCUCUGUAUCCUAAACUGGCCAGAAACGAGUUGAAACGCUAAUCCAAACGGGGCCUAACAGUGUGACGAUCUAACUUUCGAUAAAACAAGCUGCUCUUCAUUCGCUAGUGAUGUUUCAAGACAAAUCAUGAAACUGCAAGCAUUGGUUUUCAUUCUACAUUACAUCAGACAUCAUCAGAUGUAAUUCGGAAUAGCACUGCCUUGCUGUCUCGGCUUCUGUGGAAGUGCCCCAAUGAAGUGGACUUCUUUGCAGGUUUUAUUAC